rnacentral:rRNA from 1 species
UACGGAGGGGGCUAGCGUUGUUCGGAAUUACUGGGCAUAAAGCGCACGUAGGUGGUCCGCUAAGUCGCGUGUGAAAUCCCCCGGCUCAACCGGGGAAAUGCGCGUGAUACUGGCGGGCUUGAGAUCGGGAGGGGUGAAUGGAACUCCAGGUGGAGCGGUGAAAUGCGUAGAUAUCUGGAGGAACACCGGUGGCGAAAGCGGCUCACUGGCCCGACACUGACACUGAGGUGCGAAAGCUAGGGUAGCAAACGGG